rnacentral:lncRNA from 1 species
UCGUUCCUAUAUAUAGAAGCGCAUAUAUCUGGUAAAAAAUCCCACAAUGUUUAGACCCGCCUGCCGCAUCACGUCGUUUCCUCUUCCAUCUUCCCCCUUCCUCCCUGCCUCCUCUCUCUCAAUCUGAUGCAAAUCCACAACACCUGGCUCCCCAAAAUCCCCAAAUCGAGCUCCUGGAGGCCAAAUCUGAAGGCUAUGGUGCUAGAUUUUGGAGAGGAUGGCCGCCUGGUGAAGCGCCCUCUUUGUGGCUGAGGUAAGGGCGCCUGCCCCCAGAGACGGGAGCAAGGGUGAGCCAACGAUGAUGAGGCUGGGCUCCCAGUUCCGCCUCCUACACCAUGCAUCUUCGACGGCGGGAGAGGCAACAACAGGGAAGAGAAGUGGGAGAGAGAAGCACAGAGCUUUUUUUAUUCCAUAGGACUCGCUCCCUUGUACGGGAGCCGGUUCUUUGUUUUCGCGAUUUGGAACCACCCGUUCAAUGUAUAGGACCGGCGUACAUGGCCAACCGGGCCGCACGGCACUAUGCGGCACGUUGGCUUAGCCGUGCCGUGAUGUGUAGUGCCGCCGUGCUGACAUCUCGGCCCUAGCACGGUCCUAUGGGCGG